rnacentral:lncRNA from 1 species
GCUUCCCAGAAACAUCCAUCAGCACCCCCAAGAGGAAGAUGUCUGAGCCCCCAGAGAAUCAAUACAUGGAGAUCUCCAGAGGUUUUCCACGGGGUAGAAACAUCGACAAGGACUUCGGAAACACACCACUUGAAUACCUUCAAGGGAUAUUUACCGAGUAUCUACUACUUAUUUGGCACUCUGCUGGGCAUUUGGAAAAUGCCAGUAAAUAGGACAGAUGAAAAGCACUGCUGUCAUAGCAGUUACAUUCUAUUGGAUGGAGACAAGUAAGGAAUAAAUGUAACAACUGCACUUCACAAGUAUUUCUAUACAUCAACGCAGGGUGAUAUCUUCCUGAGAAGUAGGUGAUUGUUUAAAGGUGAGUUUAGGCCAG